CAAUAGCGUAUAUUAAAGUUGUUGCAGUUAAAAAGCUCGUAGUUGGAUUUGUGGUGUGUCCAGUCGGCCUUUGCUCUCUGAGUGAUUGUGCUGUACUGGUCUGCCAUGUUUGGGUGGAAUCUGUGUGGCAUUAAGUUGUCGUGCAGGGGAUGCCCAUCGUUUACUGUGAAAAAAUUAGAGUGUUCAAAGCAGGCUUAUGCCGUUGAAUAUAUUAGCAUGGAAUAAUAAUAUAGGACCUUGGUACUAUUUUGUUGGUUUGCGCACUAAGGUAAUGAUUAAGAGGGACAGUUGGGGGUAUUUGUAUUCCAUUGUCAGAGGUGAAAUUCUUAGAUUUUUGGAAGACAAACUACUGCGAAAGCAUUUACCAAGGAUGUUUUCAUUAA
rnacentral:rRNA from 1 species